rnacentral:rRNA from 1 species
GACGAACGCUGGCGGCGUGCCUAAUACAUGCAAGUCGAGCGAGCUUGCCUAGAUGAUUUUAGUGCUUGCACUAAAUGAAACUAGAUACAAGCGAGCGGCGGACGGGUGAGUAACACGUGGGUAACCUGCCCAAGAGACUGGGAUAACACCUGGAAACAGAUGCUAAUACCGGAUAACAACACUAGACGCAUGUCUAGAGUUUGAAAGAUGGUUCUGCUAUCACUCUUGGAUGGACCUGCGGUGCAUUAGCUAGUUGGUAAGGUAACGGCUUACCAAGGCAAUGAUGCAUAGCCGAGUUGAGAGACUGAUCGGCCACAUUGGGACUGAGACACGGCCCAAACUCCUACGGGAGGCAGCAGUAGGGAAUCUUCCACAAUGGACGAAAGUCUGAUGGAGCAACGCCGCGUGAGUGAAGAAGGGUUUCGGCUCGUAAAGCUCUGUUGGUAGUGAAGAAAGAUAGAGGUAGUAACUGGCCUUUAUUUGACGGUAAUUACUUAGAAAGUCACGGCUAACUACGUGCCAGCAGCCGCGGUAAUACGUAGGUGGCAAGCGUUGUCCGGAUUUAUUGGGCGUAAAGCGAGUGCAGGCGGUUCAAUAAGUCUGAUGUGAAAGCCUUCGGCUCAACCGGAGAAUUGCAUCAGAAACUGUUGAACUUGAGUGCAGAAGAGGAGAGUGGAACUCCAUGUGUAGCGGUGGAAUGCGUAGAUAUAUGGAAGAACACCAGUGGCGAAGGCGGCUCUCUGGUCUGCAACUGACGCUGAGGCUCGAAAGCAUGGGUAG